rnacentral:rRNA from 1 species
UACGAAGGGGGCUAGCGUUGUUCGGAUUUACUGGCGUAAAGCGCACGUAGGCGGUUUGUUAAGUCAGGGGUGAAAUCCCACAGCUCAACUGUGGAACUGCCUUUGAUACUGGCAGCUAGAGUCCGGAAGAGGUAAGUGGAACUCCUAGUGUAGAGGUGGAAUUCGUAGAUAUUAGGAAGAACACCAGUGGCGAAGGCGGCUUACUGGUCCGGAACUGACGCUGAGGUGCGAAAGCGUGGGAGCAAACAGG